ACAUAGUCGACACGUCUUUCCGAGGAUAUAAAGGUUAUUUUCAAAUGUAAUUCGCCAAAGUUUUCCACCGUUAAUGGUGUGGCCCUUGUAGUGCAGACAAAGUGGGACCAGAUGAGCCCUGAUUUGCAUAUCAAAACCACUAAUGUCUUUUUCCAGCUACUUUGGUUUUUGUCCAAACUUCAUCUCUCACUCCCUUUUUAAACUGCCUCUCCCUCCCCGAUCUUCAUUACUUCCACCUCAGGCCAUAGCAGUACUACUUGAUCACUGUAGGGGAGUGCGAGAAAGCAAGCUGCAGAGCGAGAACUUCAGUCAUCAUGUCCAGCCGAAGAUCAAGAACUUCGAUUAAUGUUGCAGAUGAAGAGAUCAUUGAAAAUCUGGUUUUUAAACUACAGUCAUUGCUUCCUACUCAGCCUAAUCAAAGGAACAAAGAAACGGUAUCAGCCUCUAAGAUUUUGAAUGAAAUUUGUACUCAUAUCAAGAGCUUACAAAAAGAGGCUGAUGACCUGAGUGAAAGACUCUCUCGACAGCUGCAUUCGCUGGACACCACUGGUGAUGUUGAUGUAGAUUUUAUUAGAAGACUUUUGCAACACUAAAGCUCCUCUCUCUCUCUCUCUCUCUCUAGUCUAUUUUGCUUGUUCAGGAGGAGUACUCCAUGCAGUUGUACAAGGAAACCAAUAUGUAUUCUCUUGCUAAUAAGUAUUUUCAUGCAUGAACCCAGUUGGACAUGAUCGUGAUGCAUUACAUGAAAUUACCAACAUGCGUUUGAUUAGAAUAAUUGAGAAAUAUAUAUGUAAGACAACGUUUGAUGUUUUUGUUUA